UACGAAGGUCCCGAGCGUUAUCCGGAUUUAUUGGGUUUAAAGGGUGCGCAGGCGGAUAUGUAAGUCAGUGGUGAAAUCUCCGGGCUUAACCCGGAAACUGCCGUUGAUACUAUAUAUCUUGAAUGCUGUGGAGGUAAGCAGAAUAUGUCAUGUAGCGGUGAAAUGCUUAGAUAUGACAUAGAAUACCUAUUGCGAAGGCAGCUUACUACGCAGAUAUUGACGCUCAUGCACGAAAGCGUGGGGAUCAAACAGG
rnacentral:rRNA from 1 species